GGUCUUAUAGUUUAACCAAAAUAGUAGACUGCAAUUCUACAGAUACAUAUUUGUUAAGACUU
rnacentral:tRNA from 1 species